UUUUUUUGAGGGAGAGCACUAAUUGAUCGAGGGGGGUGUCAAACCUUACUGAACUCAGAUAAACUCCGAAUGCAAAAAAAAGGAUUUUAAGCAGACAGACGUUGAGUGCUAAGAUUCAUCAGUCAAGAGGGAAACAGCCCAGAUUGUUCGUUAAGGUCCAUAAAAAUAGUUAAGUGAAUAAGAAGGUGAAAAAAUAAAAACAACCAAAAGGUAGGCUUGGAAGCAGCCAUCCUUUAAAGAAA
rnacentral:rRNA from 1 species